UUUGUUGGCGCGAUGAUGAAGCUAAUUGAGGAAUAGAGUUUCUCAUCUGGUAUUAUCCAGAACUUGAAGACAAACCCUUGGCUGUUUGACUACCUAU
rfam:Amborella trichopoda AMTR_V1.0_contig_13163, whole genome shotgun sequence.